CCCUUAGAUGUUCUGGGCCGCACGCGCGCUACACUGACGAUGGCAACGAGUUUUUCCUUCGCCGAAAGGUGUGGGUAAUCUUUUGAAACAUCGUCGUGCUGGGGAUAGAUCAUUGCAAUUUUUGAUCUUGAACGAGGAAUUCCUAGUAAGCGCGAGUCAUCAGCUCGCGUUGAUUACUGCCCUGCCCUUUGUACACACCGCCCGUCGCUACUACCGAUUGAAUGGUUUAGUGAGGACUCCUGAUUGGCGCCGCCGCCCCGGCAACGGAGCAGCGGACUGCCGAAAAGUUGUUCAAACUUGAUCAUUUAGAGGAAGUAAAAGUCGUAACA
rnacentral:rRNA from 1 species